rnacentral:tRNA from 1 species
ACUAUUUUGGCAGAAAUGAGUGCAAUAGAUUUAGGAUCUUUUAAUAUGAUAAAUAUCAUAAAUAGUA